rnacentral:rRNA from 1 species
AAGACGACCACGUUGAUAGGCCGGCGGUGCAAGCGCAGCAAUGCGUUCAGCUGACCGGUACUAAUUGCCCGAGGUCUUGAUUUAGAACACC